UGAGGAAUAUUGGUCAAUGGUCGCAAGACUGAACCAGCCAUGCCGCGUGCAGGAUGAAGCAUCUAUGGUGUGUAAACUGCUUUUGUACGGGAAGAAACACUCCUACGUGUAGGGGCUUGACGGUACCGUAAGAAUAAGGAUCGGCUAACUCCGUGCCAGCAGCCGCGGUAAUACGGAGGAUCCAAGCGUUAUCCGGAAUCAUUGGGUUUAAAGGGUCCGUAGGCGGCUUUAUAAGUCAGUGGUGAAAUCCGGCAGCUUAACUGUCGAAUUGCCAUUGAUACUGUAGGGCUUGAAUUGUUGUGAAGUAACUAGAAUAUGUAGUGUAGCGGUGAAAUGCUUAGAUAUUACAUGGAAUACCAAUUGCGAAGGCAGGUUACUAACAAUACAUUGACGCUGAUGGACGAAAGCGUGGGUAGCGAACAGGAUUAGAUACCCUGGUAGUCCACGCUGUAAACGAUGGAUACUAGCUGUUUGGUUGUAAGACUGAGUGGCUAAGCGAAAGUGAUAAGUAUCCCACCUAGGGAGUACGAACGCAAGUUUG
rnacentral:rRNA from 1 species